UACGGGGGGGGGCAAGCGUUGUUCGGAAUUACUGGGCGUAAAGGGCUCGUAGGUGGCCAACUAAGUCGGACGUGAAAUCCCUCAGCUUAACUGGGGAACUGCGUCCGAUACUGGAUGGCUUGAGUUUGGGAGAGGGAUGCGGAAUUCCAGGUGUAGCGGUGAAAUGCGUAGAUAUCUGGAGGAACACCGGUGGCGAAGGCGGUUCUCUGGGCAUGACCUGACGCUGAGGAGCGAAAGUGUGGGGAGCGAACAGG
rnacentral:rRNA from 1 species